GGCCCUGUGGUGCGUAGCACAUUGAAUUGCAAAUUCAAAGGAGCAGCUUCAAUCCUGCCCGGGCUU
rnacentral:tRNA from 1 species